UCCGCGGCGGCUGGGUCGCGAGGAGCCCCGUGAGGCGGCGCGGGCGGCCGCCCCGGGGCAAUGGGCGACCGGCCCUAGGAUCCGGCCCCGCAGCGCACGGUACCGAGCGGCGCCGCCCGCCAGCAGCCCGGGCUCACUGGCCGCCAUCUUUGGUGCGGGCAGAGAGCACGCGCCUCCCACACGCCUCCUCCUGCUGUCACCUCCCUUCCCCCCAGCCCGAAAUGGCAGUUGUGGGCGCCAGCGCUAAUUAAACAAAACGUUUAACGGAGGUAGUGAAGAGGUGCGGGGCUGUAAGCCGUGCUGCCCGCGUCAAAGAUGGCCAGUGGAGCCCCUGGCAGCGCUGUCCCGCAGCUGUCACGGGGCUGCUCCCCUCGCGUCUGCCCGCAGCCCCGCCGGGGCCGCUCGGCCUCCCCCGACACGCGAGUUCCGCACACGGGACACGAACGCCUCUCCGCGCUCUGGAUCCGCGUGCUGGGCCAGAUCUUAACGGCGCCGGAGGUGACCUUCUGCGCAACCGGGCACCGGCACCAGUGAACAGCGAAGACCGCGUUCCCUGCGUAAUCGUAACCGGUGCUGGGGCGCAGGGCUGGCGGGCACCGCGUAGCUCUCGCCUUUAGCUCCAGGAGGGACAUCUAUUUUAUCCCCGGGUUGCUGAACACCUGGCAGGCACCUGUGGUACGCAGCGACCGGAUAUUACUCUGCCUUUCCAACCUCACAGAUGAGACGUGGGCCUGUUUGCCACCAUCUGCGGGUAAAAAAGGGCAGCCCUUCACUGCCCAAACUGCUUCUUGUCCGCAUUCAAGCAGAACUGCCUUACCAGAAAGGAAAAGAGUUGCUAAAGCCAGGUUCUUCUUGUCACUCUUCCUACCUACUUGCUUUGGCUGCCAAAGUUACUGCUACCCCUUGCAGAUUUGGCACACUUUGAUAACUUACCAGCACCAGAAACACUGAUUCAUGAAACUGAUGUCAGAAGAGGUUGUUUUUGCCAAAAGUGAAUCCCAUGUUGUUCUGUGUCGUGGAAGAGAUGAUGCCAAAAUCUGAGAUGGUCAUGAUGCUCAAGGACCUAUAAUGUCACAUGAAGAUAACAGGAAUAUUUAUAUUCGAUACCUGAUGUAGGACAAAUUUCUCUAAACUGGACACUCAAAAAUUACUCAACCCUUACAAAAUUUUCAUUAUUAAUGUGUGUCAGGGGUCUUAAUAAGUCAAACUAAUUGGAGCUGGAAAUGCAUCCAUGCCCCUACUGUUGCAAUGCACAGUACAACAGGUCCCCAAAUCCUGACAGAGGAUUUUGAACUCUAAUAAAAUGUAAAUACUAUAUUCGGAUAUAUAAUGUCUGUAUCCUCUGACCCAUGAUGAAUAACAAAUUAUUCCUAGUUUAACAGUUUCAGUACCUAACAGCCAAGCCUCUAGUUUGUAACUGAAAAUGGGAGGGGUGGGGGGAAUCUGAUCACAAGCAAAUAUAAUGGCAGCAGUAACAUUGCUUCGUCGUCUUGAUCCCAUCAAUGUGUUUUAAAGAAUGAUCCCAUUUUUUAAAAAAGCUAUAGAUUCCCUCAUAAAUAAUUCCCAAGCUUUAACAAGCACAUACAACUAUGUAAAGGAAAACAGAUUAAAUAUAUAUGUUAAUAUAUUAUUAGUAAUUUAUAAGAUACAACUGCAUAUUAUGAAUAUUAAGCUACAGAGGCCAAAUGAGGUACCAUCAAAUGUUUGUAACUUUCUACCAGUGCAGAAUAGGUCCAGAAGUAUGUUUUUAUAAAAUGCAAAAUUAACAGCCCUUCACAAAAUAGCAUGUAUGAUACCUCAACAGCACUUGUCAAUAGCACUUUAUAAACUUCGAACUAUUCCCAAGUGCCUAAUCACCUUGCUUAUACUAUCAUAUAUUCUACCGUUACUGAUAUCUUCAAGACAUCACCAACUACUACAGGUUUUUGGUCAUUUGCCAGGGAACUUCUAGACAUCCUGAUACAUAAGUGGAGUAACAGGAACCAGGGUAUCCCCGGAAAAAACAGUCAUUAAUUGCCUAUGGUCAUUCGUAGAUUAACGUUAUGAUGCUAGUGCCACAAGUUCAACUUGCAGUCACAUCACAUAUGUGCUAGGCAGCCAGUCUGAGUUUGCUCAGCCUCCCUGACACCUUCCAAACUCACUCUGCUUGCGUGACACAACCGACUUGUGCCUACACAUGUGUUUUGGCUUCAGAAAUCCCUGAGAGAAAUAUGGAAUUCACAGCGUUUGCACCCCAAAAAAGUAUAUAAUACCUGACAGGGUCUAGCCACAACUUCUCUCAAGUGCUUCUGUUACUGUACAGUAAGGAAGAGAUAUUCACAUGAUGAACGAUUAUUUCUCAGAUGAUUUCACUAAAACACUUCCUUUCAAGCACAGUGGUGUGAAUUAAAAAUGAAUUGCACCCCUACCUGAUACAACAAAAUAUAAGCAUGUGAGAAUUUUUAAAAUCACACUGUAUUGAAGUAGCACACAAAAACUAGGCAUUUUAUACAUUUGUAACUUUUGUAUCCAAGACACAGGCAAUCUAGGCCUUAGCCUUGGAUUAAUAUGCUAUGUUUUACACCACAAAUAUUUGGUAUAAUUCAGCCUGUUUACACUACAGAAAAUUCUCCAUUAACCCUUGCAUUUUUCUCAAUUUCUUCAAAGUACAAACCUAAGGUUAAUCUUAGAUAAGCUGCCCACUCUUCUUCUUUUGCAAGACAGAAGAAUGAGCUUUUACAUAGUAGCCUUAACAGACAUUAUAAAAUGAGCCGAGCCAGCAGGAAGUCCAGAAAUUCUCUUUCAAUAACAGCAUUCUUCAGAGCCUGCAUGUAUUUCUUGCUAGAACACUGACUGUUUUGAAAACUUUUCUACAGAGAGAAUUUUGUAUUUUGCAACAUAAAAUAAGAUGUAUUUUAUCUGUGCGGAUCUAUUAUCAAAGUAUCAAAAAUAAUUUUAAUUAUUAAUUUAAAAUUCCAUAGCAUAAUCUCAUUUAUUUUAAUGCAGCUUCACACACCAUACACCUGUAAGAAGAAAGAAAAGUCUAUGAAUCUAAGUCUUCAUCAUAUUGCAGACAACUAUACUUGUUUUCUGUGUUACUCUAGUCAAAUAGCCUAGCCCUUGAAACACUUACAACUACUUUGUAUCACUGACUGUACAAGGGGAAAAAAAAAACCACAAAAAUCUUUCACUCCAAGUGAAAUCCCAAGGUAGCAUAAAGCCAGCAAAUAGCUUUAUGUUACUGUAUCCUUCAAGCACGGAACAGCUUUAACUGUGGUCAAACAAUCAUUACAGAAAUUAUUAUAGUUCAAAAUGGAAAAAAUGCCCUACCCUUCACUGAACUGUGAGUGAUAUCCAAAGGCUUCUCUCCUUCACACAAAAUGCUUUGAUAUUUAUCACAUAAAUAACAUUAGCAUGUAAAUUGAAAUUAUUUAAGAAGCAAUUCAUGUAAAUAAAAAAUGAACAGCUUUGAGAAAACAUAGUGUUCACAUCGUAUCUGCAAGUUCAAUUUGUAUUUUUCAAGAUAAGGUUUUCCAAUACGUUGCCAGCAAAUACUAAUUAAUAACCUUUAGAUAGCAACCCAUUCCCUGCUGCUGAAACUGGUUUGUGAAAUAUUUGUGUACCAUGCCUGUGUAACUACUCAAAUUCAGUAUCACAACCUUGAAUCACAAGCCAGAGUUUUGCUUCAAACAUUUCCACAUGAAAUAUACCUCAGCAACCACAGAGUAAGCCAAGGUCUUGUUCUGCAGAAAGUGCAUUUCACACUAUUGCACUGCCACUGUAUCCAACUACUACUAUAUUCACUCAAGACUCCUUUCCGGGCAUCUUCCUUGUCUGCUUAUAAUAUUAGGAGAAUCAAUUAGAUGAGUAAUUCUGCACAAGCUGUUUCAUUAGCUGAAAAAGAAGGAACUUCAAGAUUCAUAAUGAAAUAGGCAGAUUUGCACUGGUUGCCCUCCCACAGGUAACCAAGCAUGCAAGCAGCUCUAGGGACAAGGCUAGUCCUGUUGACUUCAGGGAGGCAGCACACCAAGUUGGAGGCUCAUGUUCCUCCAGGGUAUCAGCAAAGACUACUAUGUCUGAACUAUCUGUUUGUCAGUAUGACUCUCCUGGCCAGGUGGGCUGCAGGUAACAACACUAAGGAAAGAAAGAGACACCAGCCAUGCUUGUGGUCCCAAGCAGAAGGCGCCUUCCCACGACCUCCUCUUUCCUCAGGUUACACACCCCUUCCUGUAAAGCAGGGAUUUACCUUAAUUAAAGGGAUGAAAACACCAUAACAAGCCUCUCCAAUACAAGAACACAAAACUGUGGAAAUAUGACACACGCUGUGAGAAAUCCCACAGGAUUACAUCAAAGGCCAGGUGAAGACACACGUCAGUAUUGACAGCAAUUUGAGAGUUACAUAGAACAAUGGAAAUGAGGGCCUGAACUGCAAGAUUGAGGUAUUUUCCAUGCUGCAAGUCAUUCCGGCUUUGGAUAUAUUUUCAUAAACACAACUUUGAAGGGAAGCUUGCUGCUGUUAUAUCCUAAAUAAAGCAAAAUUAGCAAAGUC